UUUUUUUUUUUUGGCAAACUGGCAACUUUAGCAACCUUAUUACCUUCUAUUGAGAAGGUUUCAGUUUGGAUCUUUUCCAAAUUGAAAUGGCCCCAGUUUCAGUUAAAAAAUAUAUGCUUACGAUUAGGUUAAAAAAAUGAAGCCAGAUGCAUUUUCUAGAAACCUCUGCUGCAUUAGAUGCCACAAAGAAAGGAAAGAAAACAAAAUGCACAUAUUCAAAAUUUCUCACUCAUUUGUAUCAAAG
rnacentral:misc_RNA from 1 species